rnacentral:rRNA from 1 species
UCGGGAAUUUUGGGCAAUGGGCGAAAGCCUGACCCAGCAACGCCGCGUGAGGGAUGAAGUAUUUCGGUAUGUAAACCUCGAAAGAAUGGGAAGAAUAAAUGACGGUACCAUUUAUAAGCUCCGGCUAACUACGUGCCAGCAGCCGCGGUAAUACGUAGGGAGCAAGCGUUUUUCGGAUUUACUGGGCGUAAAGGGCGCGUAGGCGGCGCGGUAAGUCACUUGUGAAAUCUCUGAGCUUAACUCAGAACGGCCAAGUGAUACUGCUGUGCUAGAGUGCGGAAGAGGCAACCGGAAUUCUUGGUGUAGCGGUGAAAUGCGUAGAUAUCAAGAGGAACACCUGAGGCGAAGGCGGGUUGCUGGGCCGACACUGACGCUGAUGCGCGAAAGCCAGGGGAACAAACG